rnacentral:lncRNA from 1 species
CUCCUCCUCCUUAUAUGAGUUUUGCUUAUAAAACCAUUAUUCAAUCCUUAUAACAAUAGCUCUUUAAUUAAGACUGUGGACUGUAUGUUAUUCUUUUUCACAUAAAAUGUUUUUUCCUCAACACUAGCUUUUGAAUUAAGAGUGUGAAUUGUAUAUUCGUUUGAGUGAUAUUACAAUUUUUCUUCACAUAAAGUGUUAUCGUAGAUGUAAUGGAUCAAUACUGUUGAUACAAAGAUUAUUGGAUUAUAUUCGUUACGAAAAAUUGUUCGUUUUGAAGAUUAAUUUUUACGUAUUAUUUUUUGAAAAAAAAAAAAGUGUUUUUUUUAAUAAAAAAUAUUUGAAAAUAUAUACAUUAUUAUUUUUAUAUUAAAUAAUCGUAAACAUAUUCGUAGAGCAAAAUAGUUCACUUUCUCCUACUCUUGGUAAGACGACUUCACAUGCCGAGGAAAAGAACAAAAAAAUCCAAGACUUAACUCUAAAGUUUAGAUCUACAGUACUGAUCGUCCCACGUAAGCUACCUCAUAUUCUCAUUUUUAUUUUAUAAUAAUUAAUAUUUCUCCCAAAAAAAUAAACUCUCUGCGACAGGUUUCCUCAUGUCUCUCCUCUAUCGAAAAAAAUAAAAUAAAAAAAUAAAAUGAAAGGGCGUCUUCUUCUCUUUCAAAAUUUUUAGGGUUUUUCGCUCUCUUCAUCAAAAUUUCUCUCUCUAUAAGGAGCCCCUAAUUUUCUAAUGUACCAAGCAAUCUCAGGUUCGUUCUUUGUUUAUUAUCGUAAUUGAAUUCUUGUAUAUUAUUUUCGUUCUGCUUUGGAAACGUAGUUGGAUUUUUUUAUUCUUUUGCCUGCUUCGAACCCUAGGUCUCUAUUUGGUUGCUAAGAAACUUAAGUAGAAAUGGAAUUGAAAAUUUGAAAUCUUGGGAGUUGACUUUAGGUCUGUGAAGAGUUUUGAUUUUUGGCACAGUUGAGAGUUUUAUUUUUGGAAUUUGUUUCUAGUUUUAAUUUCUUUUCUUGUCUAUGUAUACGUUGUAAAAUAAAAUAAUUUAAAAUGGAAUCUUUCUAAUUAGUUUUAAUGAGAAGUUUUCUUAUUUAUUUAUUAUUUUAAUUAGCAAAAGGGUUUUAUAGUUGGAGAGAUUUUUGUGAAUGUUAUUGAACAGUAGAAAUGCAUUAGAGCAAUCAAUAGACUCAAAGGACUGCAGCUUGUAAUUAUAUAAGGCAUUAACUUAUAUGGAGAAAAUGAAAGCUAUAGUUGACAAUUUGUGUUUAACUCACUCUACUUUGUGUGUACUAAUUUAUAAGACUUAUGCCGUGGUCAUUGUGGGAUUUAGGGUGGAGUGUAAAUUUUUGAAAGCCCGAGGAAAGGUUUUGAGGUUGAAAGAGAAGGAAAGUAUUGAUAAUUGCGAAAUUUCAUAUCCGGAGAAAAUUUUAAGUUGGUGCCCUAUAAAAAUUCUUGAUGUACCAUGUUUGUGAAAUUCAAUUUUGUUGGGACUAAUUAAAGUAGUCUAGGGAAGAAAGGCGGAAGUUUUACCUACCUGUGAUUUAUGGUGGUUUGGACUGGAAAAGAAGGGAUUUUAGGGUUUAUAGCCAUUUUAGGAAUAAGGUUAGGGCUUAUGAAUCCUUUAGUGAUUGGAUUAGUUGAGAUUUAAUCUCAAGAUAAAGAUGAAACUGAACGAAACUUUAAAUUUUUGAAUUAAGAGUUUUGGCUAGUAGGAAUUGAUAUGAAAAUACGAAGCAAGAAUUAGGUUUGAAAGUCACAAGAGAGGAAAUGUGAUUUGGUUGUAAAGAAGGGAAGUAACUAAAAAAUACAGUGGCAGGAGAGAAGAAGACGAGGGAGGGAAAACUCAUCACAAAUUUCUAAGAAUUCCCAAUAACUCAAAUUAUCUGUAAACUUUAAAGUAAAUUUUACCAAGAUUGGCAAUACUAAGAGGAAUAGGCAAAUCAUCAGUUGUCCUACUUUGACUAGGAUUCCUAAAACCAUUAUGCUUAGGAAUAAAACUCAACUAAUGUAAACUAAAGACCAUAUGUAGUCACUUAACUAAAUGCAAAAUAAAACGCAAUGGACCAUGACUAAGGCCCAUGCUAGCAAACCAAGUACUGCUAGACUCCAAAACUCCACUUAACUGAUAAAUGAUUAUAAUAAUGACCAGAUAACCACUAAAUACACUUUUCCUUUGAUAAAAAAAAAUGUCCUUGAUGAAAAGCCCAUGACCUCGUCUUUUGGCUUCCUAAGAGGAUGCAUUUUAUCCAACCAAUCUAUUGGUCACUGUUAGAAAGUAACAUUGUUGUUGUUGUUACCUAGAUGUCUGUUGGCAUAUCAUUUAGUGAACGCAAGUUGUAUAGUUUAUUUAUUUACUAUUAUUAUUCUUAUUAUUCUUUGCAAUCAGUGUGUCCUGGAUGUCGCAAAAACAUUCAUCUGCUUGUUUUUGAGCAUUGAAUUCUAUAAUUUGUUUGUCAGUAAUACUAAAGCAUGGUCACAUUUACAUAAAAAAAUUUAAUAUGCUUGAAAUGAGCAUAAUAUGUAUAAUUUUCAAGUGCUGCAGGAUAUCAUAAAUUAAGGAAAAAAAAAAAAAAAUUCUUGAAAUGCUAGGUUGUAUUAUGGGGCUACCAGUUGAGUAAUUCACAAUUCUAGCCGUGCUGAUGACUGCUAAGGAAAAGUAGGAUGGUUGUUUUGAUGCAGCUGUAGUCACUAUCAAACUAAAAUGGCGUGAUGCAUAUGGGCUGUGAAUGCUUGAGGCAUGGGCUUUUAAUUGAAUUUAAUGGUUGACUAGUAGCCUUUAACAAAUCUGAUUAUGUGGGAUUUUAUGCCCUCUUGACUGUUCUUUGGCAUAGGGAGUUAAUAGCUAUUUUGCUGGAUCUUUUGAAAGAUAUUUUGUAUUUAAGACUGAGAUGGCAAAUUUGAGUUAUAUAAAAUGUUGGAGCAAGGUUCAAUAACCUGAAUCAUCAGAGAAAUAUUUCAUAAUUUAUCUCUCUGGACAAAAUGUGAAAUUUUCCUCUUGCAUCAAUGUUUCCAUGAAAUGUAAAGAGCUUUCUUGUUUAAUCUGUUAUGAAAUGAUAGAAAAUCUCUUGAGUUUUUAUUAAUAAUAAUUUUACUUUUUUUUUUCAUUUUUAAUAUGCUUUUCUCUGCUGCCUUGCCGCCUCCUAAAUUCCUAUAACUACAAGAGUUUACCGCAGGCUAUGUAAAAGCUCAUUAAGCAGCAAGAUGAGCAACGACGUUUUUGAUGGGCAGAUACUAACUGAGAAGCUGUCAAAACUCAACAAUUCGCAACAAAGCAUUGAAUGUAUCCUGCAGUUUCAAGCUUAUUUGGAGGUUUUUAUUAAGAAAUAGUAAUGGUGGAUAAUUUCUUGUUUCAUUAGUGGUCCAUAAUUAAAGUAACACUCCUGAUUACGGGAAUCUAGUGUAAUUCUAAAGUUCUUAAUUGAAGAAGAGGAAUUUUUUUUGUUUAUUUUGUUUUCUUUUAGUAACUAUUUCUCACUGUAUGAAUUUGAUUGAUAAUAUAUCCUGCAUGUAUUUACGUGUCCUAUGUAUGCUUUCUUUGAUUAUGGUCUUUAUGAUGUAGGCUGAUGUGAUGCUUUUAGAUUUAUCAUGUCAUGGUAUCCCUUAUUUUUGCCACAUGUUUUUCUUAUUUUCUUGCUGUCUGGGCCUUGCUAUGCAUGAAUUUUGUAUUGCAUGACUGCCUCAGUUGUUCUGCAUGGAAAUUUUUGAGUACAAUAAUCAUAGCAUUAAAUUUUCUGUUAUUGAAGCUCUUGUUCUGGUUGGACUUUAGCAUUUUGUUUUUAUAUUUUAAUGUUUUUUCUCUCACUUGUAUCACAUGCCUUACACUUUGCUAAUGCUCUAUUCAUGAAUUAAGCAUAUUUUUCUGGUAUUUUUUUCUACUGCAACACAUAUUUGUGCUUCCUUUAGCUGUUUUAUGGUGGAUCUCUGGCUGUCUAUCUUAGAUGGCCAUAAAUUGCUUCAUUGGUGGUCUAUUGUUUUCCACUAAGCAAUGGCUUUUAAUUAAGACUUAGAUUACGUGGCUGGCAUGAAGUAGGUGCUUGUUUUGUUGCCAAAGGUCAUCUUCCUUGAAAUAUAGGGAUUGGUGUGCUUUGGUUUCUUCCUGUAACACCUUUGUGUAUCUGAUCAAACUUGGUGAAAUUAGUUUUGGAAAAUCUCCAACUAAUCUUGGUUUGUUGCAUUUUCUUUCUCAAUUCAGCAAACUGAUAGUAGAAUGAGAUAAUUGGCAAAACAGUUGUUUCUUUUCAGUAUUAUCUUUAUGUUCUUUUUGCAUUAGGAAUGUGUUAGAUUGUUUUGUAUGUAGAUUCUUUAGUUUUAGUUCAUAAGGUAUUUAUUUUACGAUUUUUGCUUUUGUGACAUUGUUUUUAUUGUGGCUUGUAGGUCUUACACAAUGUAAUUAAUCUUGUUUGGCCUUUUUGUUUUUGGUCCAAGAGAGGUUUGAUUGUGAAUUUAUGCUGUUUUAUACAUCCAAGUGUAAUUUCUUGUAGGAUAAGGAAUAUUACUUUAUUAAGUUAUAAAUGCAUGCCAUUUAAAUUGAAUGGAGAAUGAGUUUAUGUAAAUUAUCAGUAACUACUAAUUUUCCUUUAAGAUGUGUGAUCUAACCAUAAUGCCUACAGGCCUUAGAUUGAUGCUUUUAGGAAUUUUUCGUUAUACUGAUAUUAUUGGCUGUUUGUAUUGUUGAGCAUCUUUUAUUGAAAUUAUUGUUGAUGUUUGAAUUAGUUUGAGUCUGUUCUUUUGUUUUGCUUUCAAUCAAAUGUCAUGUAAUGAUAUAUUCUGCAUACAUAGCAUUAUUGCCCUAUAUAUAUAUAUAUAUAGUAAUGUAAUCCUAUGAAAUUGGUUGACUUCAAAACUUUUCAACAAACUAUUUUUAAUUUAGGGGCUAAGCAUUGUGAGUAAUUAUAGUUCCUUGCUUGGUAUAGAUUAAAGCUACCUGCAGUAUGAAACUCUCUAAACAUAAUUUUCUCACUAAAUAGAUAAUAUCCAGUGAGAUAGAAUGGUUCUUGGAUGAAAUUUUUUUUACAAAAAAAGUAGCACUACUCAUUGUUGCCUAAUAUACCUCUUAUAUUUCUUAUUUACUACCAUGAAUUGAGGUUAGCAUGCAUUUCCUUGACUUUGGUUCAGCGUUGUCUCAAUGGUGUAUUACUCACCGGAAGAAGGCAAAACAGAUUGUUGAAACAUGGGACAAAUUGUUUAACUCUUCCCAGAAAGAACAGCGAGUUUCUUUUCUGUAUUUGGCUAAUGACAUUUUGCAAAAUAGCAGGCGAAAGGGAAGUGAGUUUGUGAACGAAUUCUGGAAAGUUCUUCCUGGAGCUCUUAAACAUGUGUAUGACAAUGGUGAUGAGUAUGGAAAGAAAGCAGUGACCAGACUGGUAAGUUGUUUAUUCAAUAUGUAGCAGUCUUCUCUCUGUUCUUGUGUCAAACGGAUUAGCUACUUCAGGUUUUGACUACUGGUCCAAUGCUGUGAUAACAUUUCCGUUUUAAUGGUUGGUCUAUUACUUUCCAAGAAUUUAAUGGCUUGUAUGUCAAAACUUGUUACUUUUGGUUAAUUGUGCUCCCUCAUCUCUCUUUCUCUUGGCAGUUGAUGUAUUGCUCUAAAUGCAUAAGCAUCUGCAAUUUUGUAUUGUGCUUUCAUAUGGAAUCAGUUUACAUAAUACUCAAUCUGGAUCUGUUAACUUAGUGCUGUUCUUGCAUUUUGUUUUCUUUUGCUUUGAAGUGGCUAUAUUUAGUUGUAAGGGGUUAAUGUAAUAAAAUCUCAGAUAUGUGUAAUUAGUUGUUAGGUGAUGGAUUUUUAGCCUAAAUGCAUGUAAAAAAAGUUGUAUGUCAAAUGGUGAUUACUUCCACCCAAAGAUUUGAUAAAUAUGAGUUUGGUGUCUUUGUAGAACUGUUGUCACAAUUUUGCUUCUGAUUAUUGGUGUUACUGAUUAUUGCAUAUGUUAGUUCCCUCUCUCCUUAAAUGCUAGUGUUAAAUUGCCUUAGGCUAUGACAAUACUCAAUAUAUAGAAACACAAAAUGCCAGCAGAAGUCUGGCGUUUGACUCUCAAAAUUUUAAGAAUUUUUGCUUAUGCGAGAAGCAGAUUUGAGCUUGUGGGCAACGCUAUAAAUGAAAGCUUCUUUAAGAAGUGCUAAUUUUUUACAUUCUCACUUUACUCUUCAGUAAUUCACAAAAUUAUAGGGAGAAUUAUAUUAUUUAACGUUAUUUUUUUGAUUGUCCAUUUUUCUAUUGAAUUCAUUUAUUUUUUUAUUGUAAUUAACAAAAAUAUCUCUUUAUUUUAUUACCUAAAAACUGAUUGAUGUAAUUUAAUAAAAUGGACUAUUUUAUUUUUUUAUUUAUUAAAAAUAUAUAAAAAUAUUAUCAAAUAGUUUUUUCAACAUAUUAUAGCAUUUCUGUAUUAAGUUUGCUAAAUGCAAUUUUAGCUUUUCUUAACAACUCUUUUGGAACAGCUCAACUCCAGCAGUACUUCUUAUAGAAGCCCCAGCCAGGCCAAAUAGUCUCUUAGUAUUUUAGCCCCAUUUAUUUUGUAGAUAAUUUGCAUUUAGAAUGACAUCUCCUUGGCGUGGGUUGGUAGAUUAUCCUUUGUUUACUGAAUAAUUGUUGCAGUAUUUCAUGCUGUUUUAUUACAUUUUUAUUACAGUGGUCCUAUCAUUUAGCAAGUAGUUUUUCCUUUUUUCCCCCUCUUUUUUUGUGGGUUUUUCUUUUGGGGUAAUGGGUUUUUUUUUUUUUUUUUUGGGGGGGGGGGUGGUGCUUGCAUGAUAAUUGUUUAGGUUGGCAUAUGGGAAGAAAGAAAAGUUUUUGGUUCUCGAGGACAGAAUCUUAAAGAUGAAAUGCUCGGUAAGAAUCCUACACCUCCUCCUUCUCCUCCUCCAUCGUCGGUGCACAAUGGAAAAAGCUCAAAUCCUAUCAAGAUUGUGAAGAGGGAUGCUCAUGCAGUGAGAAUUGUAAGAAUUUAUCUAUUCAACUGUACUUUCUACUUUGAUCCAUCAAUUUGAUUCUAGCCAUUUUCUUUGUGUUCUUUUAUGACUUUAAACAUUUUCUUGGUUUGUUCUUUUGUGAUUUUGAAUGUUUUUCUUU